UACGUAGGUGGCAAGCGUUGUCCGGAUUUACUGGGCGUAAAGAGCGCGCAGGCGGUCGUAUAAGUCGAAUGUGAAAGCCCCCGGCUCAACUGGGGAGGGUCAUUCGAUACUGUUCGACUCGAAGGCAGGAGAGGGAAGUGGAAUUCCGGGUGUAGUGGUGAAAUGCGUAGAUAUCCGGAGGAACACCAGUGGCGAAGGCGGCUAUCUGGACCGACAUUGACGCUGAGGCGCGAAAGCGUGGGGAGCAAACAGG
rnacentral:rRNA from 1 species